AACGUUACAUUUGUCCUACAGUAAAAUGGCAGGUAAAGGUACUUAAAACUCUAUUGUCAAGAAAAUGCAUAUAAACCUUCGGCGGCCUCGAAACUUGUCCGCAGUCAAUAUGAAGCUCGGAGCUCCCCGGAACAAAAAAAAAAUACGGAAGCACGUGCACAAUGCUCCAGAAGGACUGCAAUACCCCACGAUAAGACUUACAUGAAUGCAGCCGAGAAAGUGGCGUGACUACUGGCCUGCCAGAAACACAAAUUCUCCGCUGGUGAGAGAGAGAAAACAAUUGCUCUGUGUGAUUGGAAGCAACAAACGAUUCGACACUGGAUGGAGUGAAAGUAUCACACGAAACGACACCAAUGUCAAUGAGAAGUGCCAUGAAGCUGAAGCUCCAACGUUCCACUCGGAGGCGUGUCGGGGUGGGCACGCUACUCGCAGAAACACGACAUCC